rnacentral:rRNA from 1 species
AUUGAACGCUGGCGGCAUGCCUUACACAUGCAAGUCGAACGGUAACAGGCCGCAAGGUGCUGACGAGUGGCGAACGGGUGAGUAAUAUAUCGGAACAUACCUUGUAGUGGGGGAUAACUAUCCGAAAGGAUAGCUAAUACCGCAUACGCUCUAAGGAGGAAAGCGGGGGAUCGUAAGACCUCGUGCUAUAAGAGUGGCCGAUAUCUGAUUAGCUAGUUGGUGAGGUAAAGGCUCACCAAGGCGACGAUCAGUAGCUGGUCUGAGAGGACGACCAGCCACACUGGAACUGAGACACGGUCCAGACUCCUACGGGAGGCAGCAGUGGGGAAUUUUGGACAAUGGGGGCAACCCUGAUCCAGCAAUGCCGCGUGAGUGAAGAAGGCCUUCGGGUUGUAAAGCUCUUUUGUCAGGGAAGAAACGGUUGUGGCUAAUAUCCAUGGCUAAUGACGGUACCUGAAGAAUAAGCACCGGCUAACUACGUGCCAGCAGCCGCCGUAACAC